GUUUUUAUAAUUUAAUUUAAAAUAUUGAUCUUGUAAAUCAAUUAUAAGAUUGACUCUUUGAAAACU
rnacentral:tRNA from 1 species